rnacentral:rRNA from 1 species
CCCUUAGAUGUUCUGGGCUGCACGCGCGCUACACUGAUGCGUUCAUCAAGUUUUUGACCUUGCCUGGAAAGGUUGGGUGACCUCUUGAAAUUGCAUCGUGAUGGGGAUAGAUUAUUGUAAUUAUUAAUCUUCAACGAGGAAUUCCUAGUAAGCAUAAGUCACCAGCUUGUGCUGAUUACGUCCCUGCCCUUUGUACACACCGCCCGUCGCUCCUACCGAUUGAGUGAUCAGGUGAACUCUUUGGACACCGCCUCCCGGUGCGUGGAAGUUGAGUAAAUCUUAUUACUUAGAGGAAGGAGAAGUCGUAACA